UACGUAGGGGGCGAGCGUUGUUCGGAUUUACUGGGCGUAAAGCGCACGUAGGCGGAUCGUUAAGUCGGGGGUGAAAUCCUGGAGCUCAACUCCAGAACUGCCUUCGAUACUGGCGAUCUUGAGUCCGGAAGAGGUGAGUGGAACUCCUAGUGUAGAGGUGGAAUUCGUAGAUAUUAGGAAGAACACCAGUGGCGAAGGCGGCUCACUGGUCCGGUACUGACGCUGAGGUGCGAAAGCGUGGGGAGCAAACAGG
rnacentral:rRNA from 1 species